rnacentral:rRNA from 1 species
UACAGAGGGGGCAAGCGUUGUUCGGAAUUACUGGGCGUAAAGGGCGCGUAGGCGGCCUGUUAAGUCAGACGUGAAAUCCCUCGGCUCAACCGGGGAACUGCGUCUGAUACUGGCGGGCUUGAAUUCGGGAGAGGGAUGUGGAAUUCCAGGUGUAGCGGUGAAAUGCGUAGAUAUUGGGAAGAACACCUGAGGCGAAGGCGGGAUGCUGGGCCGACACUGACGCUGAGGCGCGAAAGCCAGGGGAGCAAACGGGG